AGCCAAUCAAGAGCGAUGGGGAGAGAGUUGGCUCGAUGAUCCAUCCGGCAACCGAUCUCAUAAGAGCUACGGUGCUAAACCCAACCCUGUAAAGGGAAGGAUUAGUC
rnacentral:ncRNA from 2 species